GUCCUUGCUUCGGCAGCACAUACACAAAAAUUGGAACGGUACAGUGAUUAGCAUGGCCCCUGCGCAAGGGUAACAUGAAAAUUCAUGAAGCAUUCCAUAUUUUU